UACGUAGGGGGCAAGCGUUGUCCGGAUUUAUUGGGCGUAAAGAGCGUGUAGGCGGCUUGGUAGGUCUCGCGUCAAAACCUGAGGCUCAACCUCAGUUCGCGUGGGAAACCACCUAGCUAGAGUCCGGAAGAGGAGAACGGAAUUCCCAGUGUAGCGGUGAAAUGCGCAGAUAUUGGGAAGAACACCAGUGGCGAAGGCGGUUCUCUGGGACGGUACUGACGCUGAGACGCGAAAGCGUAGGGAGCGAACAGG
rnacentral:rRNA from 1 species